rnacentral:rRNA from 1 species
CAGUUACGGUAGGCAAAUCCGCUGUAACGUUAAUGCUGAGGCGUGAUGGGGAAGGCCCUUGAGGCUGAAGUACAUGAUUCCAUGCUUCCAAGAAAAGCAUCUAGAGAGAGAAGUAGUGCCCGUACCGCAGACCGACACAGGUAGAUGAGGGGAGAAUCCUAAGGCCGGCGGAAGAAUUGCAGUUAAGGAACUAGGCAAAUUGACCCCGUAAGUUAGCGAGAAGGGGUGCCUGCGAGAGCAGGCCGCAGAGAAUAGGCCCAAGCAACUGUUUAGCAAAAACACAGGUCUCUGCUAAAGCGCAAGCUGAUGUAUAGGGGCUGACGCCUGCCCGGUGCUGGAAGGUUAAGGGGAACACUUAGCGCAAGCGAAGGUGUGAACUUAAGCCCCAGUAAACGGCGGCCGUAACUAUAACGGUCCUAAGGUAGCGAAAUUCCUUGUCAGGUAAGUUCUGACCCGCACGAAUGGCGUAAUGACUUGGGCACUGUCUCAACUGCAAAUCCGGCGAAGUUGUAGUGCGAGUGAAGAUGCUCGCUACCCGCGAUUGGACGGAAAGACCCCGUAGAGCUUUACUGUAGCUUAGCAUUGAAUUCCGGUAUUGUCUGUACAGGAUAGGUGGGAGACUGGGAAACUAGGGCGUCAGCCUUAGUGGAGUCGUCCUUGGGAUACCACCCUGACAGUACUGGGGUUCUAACAGGACGCCAUGAAUCUGGUGACUGGACAUUGUUAGGUGGGCAGUUUGACUGGGGCGGUCGCCUCCUAAAAAGUAACGGAGGCGCCCAAAGGUUCCCUCAGAACGGUCGGAAAUCGUUCGUAGAGUGCAAAGGCAGAAGGGAGCCUGACUGCGAGACCUACAAGUCGAGCAGGGACGAAAGUCGGGCUUAGUGAUCCGGUGGUACCUCGUGGGAGGGCCAUCGCUCAACGGAUAAAAGCUACCUCGGGGAUAACAGGCUGAUCUCCCCCAAGAGUCCACAUCGACGGGGAGGUUUGGCACCUCGAUGUCGGCUCGUCGCAUCCUGGGGCUGUAGUAGGUCCCAAGGGUUGGGCUGUUCGCCCAUUAAAGCGGCACGCGAGCUGGGUUCAGAACGUCGUGAGACAGUUCGGUCCCUAUCCGUCGCGGGCGUAGGAAAUUUGAGAGGAGCUGUCCUUAGUACGAGAGGACCGGGAUGGACUGACCUCUGGUGCACCAGUUGUUCUGCCAAGAGCAUGGCUGGGUAGCUAAGUCGGGAAGGGAUAAACGCUGAAAGCAUCUAAGCGUGAAGCCUCCCUCAAGAUGAGAUUUCCCAUAGCAUAAGCUAGUAAGACCCCUUGAAGAACACGAGGUUGAUAGGUCAGAGGUGUAAGUGUGGUAACAUAUUUAGCUGACUGAUACUAAUAGGUCGAGGGCUUGACCU